UACGAAGGGUGCAAGCGUUACUCGGAAUUACUGGGCGUAAAGAGCUCGUAGGUGGUUUGUCGCGUUGUUCGUGAAAACCGGGGGCUUAACCCUCGGCGUGCGGGCGAUACGGGCAGACUUGAGUACUGCAGGGGAGACUGGAAUUCCAGGUGUAGCGGUGGAAUGCGCAGAUAUCAGGAGGAACACCGGUGGCGAAGGCGGGUCUCUGGGCAGUAACUGACGCUGAGGAGCGAAAGCGUGGGGAGCGAACAGG
rnacentral:rRNA from 1 species